AAACAAAAACCAAAAAGUAAGAAUCAAAUAAUAUAUUAAACGUUAAAAAAAUUUAGAAUGACUUUUCAAGCCGAUUCAGUUCCUCCGUCUCUUCUCUCCUUCUCCUACUCCUUCGUCUUUAUACAUCAACGUGCUCUAAAAAUGUUUCGCACACCCUGUUCGUCUCCAUCCAUCACGGCGGCAUUCUGUCAUAAGCCUCAAGCUCUGAUUCUAGAGCUCGUGUACUGGGUUUAGGAUCCUUAUUCGUGCAUUGGUUUUAGGAAUCCUGUUUGUUCGUAAUAGCAUCUUUGCAGGGGCAAACACUGAGGGAGAACACAAUGCUUUGUUCCUCUUUUGUUCGUUCUCUUUCCAAUUGUUAAUUUUAGGGUUCUUUAAUAAUCUAAACGUUCUUCCUCAAUCUCAAGCUCUCCUCUGCGUUGUGGAUGUGACGUUUGCCGAUUUCCAGAUUUGAGUCAAGGUGUAACUGAAGAGACUACGUAGUUAGAAAAGGACGUAGAAAAGCAAGGUGAAUUUGCCAACUUUGCAUGGGAUAACAUAGGAAGCUUUGAUGACCUAUAUCGAAUUUUCAGGUAGCACAUAUUGAUCGUGAGACUUGUGGUUGAAGUCGUGCAAGAACACAAAUCUUUUAGGAACAUCACUGAUUCAAGUCUCAUGUUGCAGGAGUGUGUGUGUGUGUGUGUGCAAAUUGGUUCCACUUUGUUGGCAGAUUUAAGAGAAACUGUUGUUUGUUAUAAAAGAGGAAUACUUACCAUACAUUAAUAUAAAGAAAUUGUAAACUAAUCAAAUUGUUCAAAGUAUACUAUUAGCCCUAUGGCAUUAACUUACACUCACGUUAUGCAUCUCUCUGCCUUCCCUUCAUUCACAUUGGUUGGAAUCAAUCUGCUUUUGCAGCUGUGUUAAGAUUUCACUGCUUCUUCCUCACUUGUACUAUUCUAUCAUCACUGCCUUCACUUCGCACUUUUUCAGUGUGAUGCCAUUUUUCUGCAAACUCUAUCCCCUUUUUUAUGUCUUCCCAUUUUAACCCACCAGAGCGAAAAGUCUAAAGAAAAUAACACCAAUCAAGAAACUAGAAUCUAGCAGCAACUUGCAUUGAUUCUGCCCUUCAAAGGUAAAAUGACAAGGACAGAUUUUUGUUUUCUUUUUUUUUUUGUGUGUGUGUGUGUGUUUUCUCUUUUAAUAUAAGGUGUAAUUAGGGAUCUCGUACAUGGGGACAUGGCUAAUAAAAUCAAUCUUCCUCGCUCUUCUGGUAGUGGAUAGCUGCUGUUGCUGCUAUGUUUCGUUGCAAACAUUGUAUAUGAAUUUAGAAAAUUUUAAAACCUCAAUUUGUUAUGUCAUUAGAUUUUACUCUUCGUGUUAUAUUUUCUGUAUUUAAUUUAAAAUAGGAAAGAAAAUUGGGUAAACAAAGGUGGUUUUUGGGGAUCGUUCUCUAUGAAAUUUGGGCAUUAUGACAUCUCAAAGUAAAAUACUAUUUGCUCAUUAUACGUUGAUGUGUUUUCUUGCAAGCAUAUUUGGAAACUCCAUAUAUUAGUCGAAGUUAGAGACUUUGCUUAUUGUUCGGUGCAGUCCAAACAUGUUAUGCAGGGGCAUACAUGUUAUGAUGACUUUUGUCUUAUGUGAUGAAACAGUCAAUAAAACAUAAUCAGAUUAUCAUUGGUCCAUAUAUAUGGAAACAACACAGGGAAUGCAUUUUUAGAAAUACCACUCCAAGUCAUGGUCUUGGUGUCGUGGUUAGAGACCUUUUGGACUUAACCAAUGAUAGUUUUUUGUGACAGCUAUAAAAUGAACUUGCUGAAGUAAAUAAUGCUAUGAAAGGAAAGUCUUGUUAUAUGGGUCUAAGGCUCUUAAGUUUAUUGCUCUGAAAUUAGUGAAAUUGUAAAAGUCUUAUUUAUGA